AGCAAAAAGUUCACAAAGAUAUUUUCACAUUCCAACCCUAAAAAAUAGAAAGGUGAUUUUGGUAGUCUUCUCUGUCCAUUUCAUUUCUGGAUAUAUCUUAGAACAACAAUCAUCAAGAUUCACUAGUACUUUGAAUUGUGAUAAUGAGUCCCGGGGAAAGCCGUCCCUGUGAUUUCUGCAAUCAGCAGAUUGCCGUCCUUUACUGCCGAGCUGAUACAGCUAAGCUCUGUCUUUUUUGUGACCAACUUGUUCAUUCAGCUAACGCUCUUUCUAAGAAGCAUCUUCGUUCUCAGAUCUGUGAUAAUUGUGGCUCUGAACCUGUUUCUAUUCGUUGUGAUACCGACAAACUUGUACUCUGUCAAGAAUGUGAUUGGGAUGCUCAUGGAAGUUGUGCAGUUUCUGGUGCACACGAUCGGAGUCCUGUUGAAGGGUUUUCUGGAUGUCCUUCUGCUUCUGACCUUGCUUCAGCUUGGGGUUUGGAUAUUGAGUCAAAAAAACUACAUCAGCAGCAUACCGUUUUGGAGUAUCCUUCUUGGAUGUCUAAGGAUGCUCCUCCUUCUGUUUUGUUGCAGGAUUUAAUGGUACCUAGCGCUAUUAAUUCUGCUAUUUACUCCACCAAACAAACUCCAACUUGUGGCAAGCAGAAACAAGUCAUAUUCAAACAAUUAAUUGAGCUAUUCAAGAGAGAUUUGGCUGAUGGGGUUGGAG
rnacentral:misc_RNA from 1 species